rnacentral:rRNA from 1 species
AUUGAACGCUGGCGGCAUGCUUUACACAUGCAAGUCGAACGGUAACAGGCCUUCGGGUGCUGACGAGUGGCGAACGGGUGAGUAAUGCAUCGGAACGUGCCCAGAGGUGGGGGAUAACGCAGCGAAAGCUGUGCUAAUACCGCAUGUGAUCUGAGGAUGAAAGCGGGGGACCAGGCAGCAAUGUUUGGCCUCGCGCCUUUGGAGCGGCCGAUGUCAGAUUAGGUAGUUGGUGGGGUAAAGGCCUACCAAGCCGACGAUCUGUAGCUGGUCUGAGAGGACGACCAGCCACACUGGGACUGAGACACGGCCCAGACUCCUACGGGAGGCAGCAGUGGGGAAUUUUGGACAAUGGGCGCAAGCCUGAUCCAGCAAUGCCGCGUGCGGGAAGAAGGCCUUCGGGUUGUAAACCGCUUUUGUACGGAAUGAAAAGGCUCUGGCUAAUACCUGGGGCUGAUGACGGUACCGUAAGAAUAAGCACCGGCUAACUACGUG